GAUAAGCUCAUUCAUUCUUAUUCUUUCUCUUUUUUCUUCCUUCUUCUUCUCUUCUCCUAUGUUCUUAUUCUUCUUCUUAUCUGGUGAUUCAGAGAGGAAAUCUCUGUUGAGAAAACCUUACAGAAAAUUAGUGAAACCAAUCAAUCAAGUGUGGUGUUGAUGAUUUCAUAGUUUGGGUUUGGUUAGAACCCUCGAUUGAGUUGAAAAGAAGUGUUUCUGUGAAAGACAGGGUUUGAGUUUGAUGUUGAGUUUAUUUGUAAAUUGAUAAGUUAAUCGGGAUGUUAACUGGUGAAUAUUAAGAGGGUUGAUAUCUAAUUUAACCUGUAAAAUUAUUUUGAUGUUGAACCAAGAGGUAGGGUUUCUGGGAGAAAUUCAAAGAAGAAUUCGAAGAUGGAAUUGAGAGUUUAAAGGGAAGAUUUGAGAUGGUUUUGACCAGGUAUGAAGUAGAAUUGUUAGUAUGAGUUUAAUUUGAUUUCAAAGCAAAUUAGGGUUUUUGUUCUUCCCCAAAACAGAGAUCAGGGUUUAUAGAUCGAAUUGUAUAUUCUUAUGGGAUUGAUAGAUGAACUGAGUUGUGGUGGAUGAAGAAUAACUGGGUUGUAGUUUAAUUGAAGAUGUGAAGUGGUUAUGUUGAAAGAUCAGUGAGUUAGGGUUCUAAAGAGGAUUGAGAAAUAAAUUGGGGUUUAUGGUGUGGGUUGAAAUUGAACUGGCUUACCAGAGAAGAUGAAUUAGUUUUAAGAUGCUGGACAUGUGUCUGAGGUAAUUGUUCUUCUCUGUUAUUUUUGUUAAGUUAUGCAGUUAUAUUGAAACAAUAAUAUUCUGGAAUUAAUUGAGGUUGAGAUGAUUGAUCAAUGAAACUGUAAUUGUAGUUAGAAGUGGUAGAGAUAGUAAAAAGAGUUGUUGAAUUUGUAUCUCAGUUGGAUGAAGUGAUAAUGCAAGUGGUGAUUAAGUUACAAGGUUUCAAAUGGAUUUCUGAAUCUGAGAUAGAGAAGGCAGUAGCUGCUCUGGUGAUGGUGUUAUGUUGAAUUCAGAUUGCAGAGUUGUUCUUAUUGAAUGGAACAAUUAGUUGCAGGAAAUAACAGAGCUGUAAUGAGGCCUCAGGGUUAAAGAUGAACUAGUUGUAUGAGAUGUUGUGUGGCUGAAGUGUUAGUAUGAUGGUUAGAUGAUUGUAUGGAGUUGUACCCUCUGUAGAAGUUUGUAACUGCAAUUUCAGGUAAGAUGAAUUGUGAUUAAGAAUGCUCUUGUGAAGUUUACUUGGAUUCGGUGUACUGUUGUAAUGCUGGUGGUGAUGGAUAUGUGAUGUAUGAGCUGUUAUAGGUGAAGUUUGGGUAUAAGAGGGAUUAGUGAAUGUUGAAUUGAUAUUGUAGAAAGAGUUUUGCUGUAAAAGCUUGGAACUGCAAUUACAGUUAGUCUGUAUUAACAACGAUCGAUUCGAAGGAUGAACCAGUGGAUCGUGGUCUCCAAGUAGGCGUGGCUUGUCAUCAAAAGAGUUUCAGAGACAGAUCAGAGUUGCGCAGCGAAAGCUUCAAGGGUUGAUUUCGUUAGUUGGAUAACUUCUGCUAUAUUUAUUAUAUUGUAUAUUCUAUUUGUAAACCAAAUGGCUAUUAUAUAAGUAUCAUUUUAGAGGAGAUUUGUAUAUAUAUAUUCCAGAGCGAGGCUAGUUUUUGGGUUAAGUUUUGUAGCAGAUUUCUUAAUUGAAUGCUAAAGUAUAUGAUUUAGAUUCUUAG